UGUGCGCGUGUCUGCGCGCUGCGCCGCUCGGCGCGCUCGGCAAUCGAUUACAGGACAAGUGCUGCCCCGGUGGCUCCGCGACGCGCGCCCUCCCUCGCGCCCACCCGCGCCGCCCCUGACCCGGUGCCCCCAGACGGCGGACCCCGCCCCCAAAGGGGGGGUACCAGUAUCUAAAAGAAUCUCUAUCUGCUGCCUGGAGAAGGAGAAGAGGCUAUGAGGAAACAAGAGUGGAAACAGGAUGACGAUUAAGAGGCUAUUUGCAAUUGUCCAGGACACAGAUACAGUUAGAGCAGUAAUGAUGGACAUGAGCAUAGAUAAAAUUUCCUGUGUGGCACUCAAUAUCUCCAAGACCUAGGAUACUCCUUGAGAUGUAUGGUACUAUUUUGAGAACCACAGGAAUGCAUUUUUGUGGCAGACGAUUCCACGUGGCGUAUGAACAUUUUUCAGCUAGUAGUUUAUACCUUUAAAAGAAGACAUUGUUACACUGUUCUGUUUACCUUUUUCAAUAAAAUGUAAGAGUCACUGAAGGCUCUCCCAGUUAAUUUUUAAAUUAUUUUGUCCUACUCUAGAAUAGCUUUUCGAAUUAAACUU